rnacentral:rRNA from 1 species
AUUGAACGCUGGCGGCAGGCCUAACACAUGCAAGUCGAGCGGAUGAAGGGAGCUUUCUCCUGGAUUCAGCUGCGGACGGGUGAGUAAUGCCUAGGAAUCUGCCUUGUAUUGGGGGAUAACGUCCGUAAACGGGCGCUAAUACCGCAUACGUCCUUAUGGUGAAACUGGUGGAUCUUCGGACCUCACGCUUUCUGAUGUGCCUAGGUCGGAUUAGCUAGUUGGUGGGGUAAAGGCCUACCAAGGCGACGAUCCGUAACUGGUCUGAGAGGAUGAUCAGUCACACUGGAACUGAGACACGGUCCAGACUCCUACGGGAGGCAGCAGUGGGGAAUAUUGGACAAUGGGCGAAAGCCUGAUCCAGCAAUGCCGCGUGUGUGAAGAAGGUCUUCGGAUUGUAAAGCACUGUAAGUUGGGAGGAAGGGAAGUAAGUUAAAACCUGGCUGUUUUGACGUUACCAACAGAAUAAGCACCGGCUAACUACGUG